rnacentral:rRNA from 1 species
AACGAACGCUGGCGGCAUGCCUAACACAUGCCAGUCGAACGAGACCUUCGGGUCUAGUGGCGCACGGGUGCGUAACGCGUGGGAACCUGCCCUUAGAUUCGGAAUAACGCCCCGAAAGGGGUGCUAAUACCGGAUAAUGUCUUCGGACCAAUGAUUUAUCGCCUUUGGAUGUGCCCGCGUUUGAUUAGCUAGUUGGUAGGGUAAAAGCCUACCAAGGCGACGAUCCAUAGCUGGUCUGAGAGGAUGAUCCGCCACACUGGGACUGAGACACGGCCCAGACUCCCACGGGAGGCAGCAGUGGGGAAUAUUGGACAACGGGCGAAAGCCUGAUCCAGCAAUGCCGCGUGAGUGAUGAAGGCCUUAGGGUUGUAAAGCUCUUUUACCCGGGAUGAUAAUGACAGUACCGGGAGAAUAAGCUCCGGCUAACUCCGUG